rnacentral:rRNA from 1 species
GACGAACGCUGGCGGCACGCUUAACACAUGCAAGUCGAACGAGAGAAGAGAAGCUUGCUUUUCUGAUCUAGUGGCGGACGGGUGAGUAACACGUGAGCAAUCUGCCUUUCAGAGGGGGAUACCGAUUGGAAACGAUCGUUAAUACCGCAUAAUAUAAUUGAACCGCAUGAUUUGAUUAUCAAAGAUUUAUCGCUGAAAGAUGAGCUCGCGUCUGAUUAGCUAGUUGGUAAGGUAACGGCUUACCAAGGCGACGAUCAGUAGCCGGACUGAGAGGUUGAUCGGCCACAUUGGGACUGAGACACGGCCCAGACUCCUACGGGAGGCAGCAGUGGGGAAUAUUGCACAAUGGAGGAAACUCUGAUGCAGCGAUGCCGCGUGAGGGAAGAAGGUUUUAGGAUUGUAAACCUCUGUCUUCAGGGACGAAAAAAGACGGUACCUGAGGAGGAAGCUCCGGCUAACUACGUGCCAGCCGCCGCGGUAAGAC